CGUAGGUAACCUGCCUGGUAGCGGGGGAUAACUAUUGGAAACGAUAGCUAAUACCGCAUAAGAGUAGAUGUUGCAUGACAUUUGCUUAAAAGGUGCAAUUGCAUCACUACCAGAUGGACCUGCGUUGUAUUAGCUAGUUGGUGGGGUAACGGCUCACCAAGGCGACGAUACAUAGCCGACCUGAGAGGGUGAUCGGCCACACUGGGGCUGAGACACGGCCCAG
rnacentral:rRNA from 1 species